UGGCAGGCUCCAUGAGGUGGAGGAGAAACAGCUAUUGCCCUUCGUGGCCCUUCACUGCAGGAACUGUGCACAGUAUAUAAAAACAGUACCUUCUGGCUGUGGCAAAAUGAAAAAAUCAUUGUAUGCUGGUCCUUCAAGAAGCAUCAUGUCUCCAAGUCCUGAAGCGUCUGUGUAAAAUGCACAGCCUGUCAGCUCCUCACGACCUGCUAGAAGCUAGAGUGAGGAAAUACGGACACCAGCUGCAUCUUCCUACUGGAUUUUGGCUCUUCUCCAGGCAGGUAUCCUGA
rnacentral:lncRNA from 14 species